GUCAUUUCCUGAAUGUAUAAUUGGAAUUUAUAUACUUGAAAAUUGAAGUUAGCCUCAAUUGGGUCCUUUGCCUGUGGGGCAAGAGCUAUCAUAGAGGAUGAAGGCCAAGUGGAAGACUUUGAAACUGCCUCCCUAACUGCCAAAGACGGUAAAUUACAAUUUCUUAUCCCAGGGGUGAUGGAAGGUAUUAGUGCAACCAUUAAAGAUCCAAAGAAUGCAGGGAUAGUGGUCCCUAUCAUAUCACUUUAAUUCAUUAGUCUGGCCCUGCAGAAACCAGAUGGAUCUUGAGGAAUAUCAGUACACUACAACAAGCUCAACCAAGCAGUAGCCUGGACCACAACUGUUGUGCCAGACACAGUUUCAUUGCUAGAGCAGAGUAGUAAGGCCUCAGGUACAUGUCUACUGGCUUAGUGAAUGUGUUCUUUCCAUUCUAAUCAGAAAUUGUGUGCAUUCACAUGAAAGAGACAAAAAUACUCAUUUGCUUCUUCGCUAUGGUAACUCUUUUGCUGUGUCAUAAAAUAGUCUGAAGAGAUCUAAACUAUCUAAACAUCCCAUAGGAUAUUAUGUUGAUUAUGUUGAGGACAUCAUGCUCAUAAACUGGUUAUCACACUGGAGGUCUUGGUGAGACAUGCGUACUCUAGAGUAUGGGAAAUAAGCCAUUAAAAGACUAGUAGUCUUGCCACUUAAGUACACUUUUUAAGAGUCCAGCAGUCAGGGCUAUGACAAGACAUGUCCAUCAAAAUAAAAAACACAUUGCUGCAUCUUGUAUUCCCUACUGCAAAGAAAGAAGCUCCUAGUGCCUAGUAGGCUCUUUGGGUUCUGGGGGCAACACAUUCCACACUUAGGGAUACUGCUCUGGACAUAUACCAAAUGAUAAAAAUGGUAGCCAGCUUUCAGCGGGGGCGUGGGGGAGGGGGGCUAAAUGAGGGCUGUGCUAUUAAUGAAAAAUGUAUGGAUUUGAUAAAACAAAAAAUGUAAGAAAUAACAGUCAAAACAGAAGACAACUGGCAACUGGGAAAAGUGUUUGCAAAAUUAGAGUUUUCAUCCUUAUUACACAAGGAAUACUUCUAAAUUACCAAGAAAAAGACAAGCCCUUAAGUUGCACAAGGAUAAAAAAAAAUAAGCAGGCAUUUUAAGAAAAAAAUUGAAAGUGGUAAGUAAUUAGUUAUGGCUUCAUUCUCUAAUUGACCAAACCACCAAAAAAUUGUUUUUCCUCAAAUUCCUUAGCUAUGUAUAAGAGUUUUCCAGAGCUUAACUAUUAUCUCCACAGAGGCCUUUUCUGACCCUUGCAUGGAAGACGCCUCUUUAAUGUUGCCUCCGUUUAGGAUAUUUGGAAAAGGGGGUAAGGAGGGAGGUAGUAUAACCACUUUUCUUGUGUGGUCCACUCAACGUCUUCAGGUUCCAUGUCCCUUCUUGCUACUCAUUUCUCCAGCAAUUUAGUCACUACUCACUUUGUCAUACAUCAUUGGAGAUUCAUAGAGCAGAACCCCCCUAAAGGUGAUACUGCUGUUUCUACAAAGGCCUUUGUAUGUAAGAUAGGGUUGAGCAUAAGGAAGAUCUUACUCCUUCUAGGUACCAUCAUAUCAGGUUGUUCCGGUGUCUCUUAUUUUUCUGAAGGGCCAGGAAAACUAAGCUGUAAAAUACAGGAAUUUUCCUGAAUCCUCCAGCAUUCUCUGGCAUAAAAAAAAAGGGGGUCAGCUGAGACUACAUCCCAGUAGGAGACCACCUGGUCUAAAAUGAAACCACUCCCAGACUGGAACAUGUUGACAUGGCAGUAAGAAGCAUCCAUAGAAGAGGUUAUUGCUACGUCAUAAGGGCAAGUGUGUACCAACACCUUGAGUUUGCAGCCUGACAUCUGGUCCACAGAGCAGCAAUUUCAAAAGAGGAAACAAUUGGCAGUUAGAGAAGGAAAUGGCAUAGCUACCAUUGGAAUUUUUGGUAAUCUCAAAGAAAAAAAAAAGGAAACUGUAUCGACUGAAAAGAAACACAUGAAGUGAACAGGAUAAGGAGAACUUUCGGCCUUAUUUUCAUAAAUUGCAGAGAACUGUGAACAUUUGUUAUAGGGACAUUUCGUGAGCAACUCAGGGACCCUAAUGAGGAGAUAAAUGACUUGGAAGACUAGGAUUUUCAAACAUAACCAGUGAGGCAAAAAUAUUACUACUACCAUUUGUAUAUACUAUGACUCUUGAUCAUCCUGACUGGUGUGGUCUGAAGAAACACUUAGGACUACCAGACUGCCUCAUUUCAAAAAAGAAUGUAAGAUGGCUUAUAAGGCUAGGCAAAAUAUAGCCAAAUAACAUCAUCUGAAGUAUAUGAGAAGGAAAAAGGGAUCAAGAAUGAGACUAAUAUAAACAAUACCAAAGUGCCCUGUUUUCUAGAUGGAGCACAAAUUUAGCUCUUGCUUCUUAUCGGCAAACAUAAAAAGCCAACUCACAAUGUACCUAAGAUAGUAGCAAAUGAACUGUUUACAAGAGGUGCAAAUAUUACAGUAAGGUCAGAAUAACUUCAGACUCCACAAAAAGAGCCCAUUGUGUGAUGUAAUCAACAUUCCUACAGUUGACACAAUGAUGAGUUUCAUAGAAUUGUUUAUAGAAUGUCCUGCAAUGCUAACCAAUGGCUUCAAACUCAAGAGAAAUUCUAGGGAGAAAUAUUCAAAGUGGUAAGAUGGAUUGAACUGCCAACCAAAAUUGUCAAUCUUUAUUUCAGUCUUCACUAUUAAGCUAAAAAGGUAAUUUUUCUCUUGAAUGAUGUGAAGAAUUGAAUUUCUUUCAACUGUUCCAAAAAUCUAUUUGCGGAAAUAUUUUUAUGCUCCAGCAUGUCUUAAGAGUUUAACAUUUUUGGAUGCUGAGUUAUAACAGAUUCCUGCCUGCCACCCUGUGGGGCAGGCAAGAUGAUAUUAUACAUCUCUUAUAAAACAAAGAUACAGACUCAGAAUGGCUAAUAGGAUAUUGCUGAGGCCUGCCAGGUAUCUUUUGGUGAAUAGAUACUCUUUAUCUUAAGGUAUCUUUUGGUGAAUAGAUACUCUUUAUCUUAAGAUUUGUUGUGGUUAUUCUUGGUCUGCUGCCCAUCUAUAAAAAAUUUAGAAUCCAUCGGUAAAGUUGCACAACAAAUUCUGUUAGGAUUUUGUUGGAAUUACACUGAACCUACAGAUCGGUUUGGGAAUAACUGACAUCUUUACAAUACUGAGUCUUCCCAUCCAAGGAAACAGUAUAUUAUAUUCCAUCUAAUUAUGUCAUUUGGAAUUGUCUUCCAAUAAAUUUUUAUGGCUUUUCUGCA
rnacentral:lncRNA from 1 species